CACGUAGGGUGCGAGCGUUGUCCGGAAUUAUUGGGCGUAAAGAGCUCGUAGGCGGUGUGUCGCGUCGGCCGUGAAAACCUGCAGCUUAACUGUGGGCUUGCGGUCGAUACGGGCAUCACUGGAGUUCGGCAGGGGAGACUGGAAUUCCUGGGUGUAGCGGUGAAAUGCGCAGACUAUCAGGAGGGAACACCGAUGGCGAAGGCAGGUCUCUGGGCCGAUAACUGACGC
rnacentral:rRNA from 1 species